rnacentral:tRNA from 3 species
GCCCGGGUGGUGUAGUGGCCUAUCAUACAACCCUGUCACGGUUGUGACGCGGGUUCAAAUCCCGCCUCGGGCG